UAUUUCAAUGAUUUUUAUUUUACUUAUGGUAAAAUGGUCACCUUUACCUAUAAUACUUUCCCAUUUAUUUGCCUAUUUAUUUAUUUAUUUAUUUUAUGCCAUGUAGAUUUUCAUUUAGGCAGUUAAGAAAUACAUGAAAAUGUUAAAGCCUGUGUACUUCACUUUUGUUCAAUUAAAUGUGAAAAAGUAAUAACAGUUUCAUCAGAAACAUUAAAAAAAGGUUGCAUUUGAUAUUAUUUAAGGUAACAAUGUUUUUUUCUUAAAGAAAGGUUCUUGAACUUAAACAACGGAGCUUGAGUAGAAGGUUUAAAGACUGAAGCUGUGAGAGCUUUCUAAGGAACUCUUAAACACUUGUUAAAUGAAACAGAGACUACUCAACUGCAAGUAUGACUGAAAGAUUUUAGAGCUGAUCCUUUCCUAAGAUGAGAGUUGGGACUGUAUAUAUGAGAAUUAUUUUGUUUUUCAUCAUCACCAUCUAAUCAGGAACCAAUUCUCCUGCUGUCGGGACUACCUUCUCAGAGGUGGGUUUAUUCCAGAAGUGGUAUGUGCAGCUGAUGAGCAGUACACAACAAAAUACUGCAAAUCAUAUCUUUCUGGGACAGUGAAACCAUACAUUUGCCAUCAUGCACACAGAUGAGUAAGAGCAGAGUAAAAUACAAUGUGAGCUGCUGACAUAGUGAAUCCCAAAGUCAAGACAAGUCAACGUUUGCAACCAAGAUGAAUGUGUAAGUUUUACAAUGCAGAGGUAUGUCUUUUGGGCAUUGUAUUUCUGUAGCUUCAUCAGAAUGGAAACUCUGACAACGAGUAAAGGUAAAAGAGGCUUGGCUUCUGCACAGAUGCAUUAAGCUGUGUAGUAAAAGUGUGCACUGUCUAAAUGUAAGUGGGAUAUAUAAGAAUUCCCCUGCAUUUCAGUUUUCCAAAGAAAAUGAGAAAAAAAAAGAGUAAAGCCCUCUCACAUUAUUAUUCAUGACUGUCUUCCAAACACCUGUCUUACACAAAAUUAAAUGGACACAGUUCCCGCUUCUUCCUUUGCUAUAGUAGGUAGGUAUCCAAUUAAGAUCUCAUGGAGUCGAUUAAAAAAGACGAAGAACCCAUUCUGAGAAAAAUUGUAUGAAAUAAAUACAUUUUUCUAUCCCUCA
rnacentral:lncRNA from 1 species